GGGAGGCGGGAUGCUGAAGUCCUGCAUCCCUCUUCCUGCCUUUCUUGGGCACAAAAUACGCGAAUCCAAGGCCUAGUUCCGGCAAUGGCAGCUCCUGGGGUGGACUCCGGGGCUGCUUUAGUCCGAAUGAUCUGGUGGGACUUGAGGAUGCCAAGUCCAGAGUCUAGCUGGGCAAGAGAACAUGUGUGGUAAGUGUGGUUAUUUGUGGCUUUCCCCCAUUGGACCAUGGACUCCAUGAGCAGGGACAGUUUAGCUGUCCAUGCGUACACUAACAAUUAUGGCAGCCCCACCACCACCAAACCAUGAAAAUGUAAUGUUAAACUUAAUUUCCUUGCCCUGACUAGUGUAGCUUAAGUGGUUGGUUGGGUUUCCUGCCUUGCACCAGGUUGCCAGAUUGGUCAUGCUGUGUGUGGCAAGGCGGGACACAGCUGAUCAAUGUUUCUCUCCCCGUCCCCGCUUGCUGUCUAAAAACCAAUUUUAAGAAAUCUU